CCCAGACUCCUACGGGAGGCAGCAGUGGGGAAUAUUGCGCAAUGGGCGAAAGCCUGACGCAGCGACGCCGCGUGAGGGAUGAAGUAUUUCGGUAUGUAAAGCUCUCUCAGCAGGGAAGAAAAUGACGGUACCUGACUAAGAAGCCCCGGCUAACUACGUGCCAGCAGCCGCGGUAAUACGUAGGGGGCAAGCGUUAUCCGGAUUUACUGGGUGUAAAGGGAGCGUAGACGGCAAUGCAAGCCAGAUGUGAAAGCCCGGGGCUCAACCCCGGGACUGCUCUUGGAACUGCGUGGCUGGAGUGCAGGAGGGGCAGGCGGAAUUCCUGGUGUAGCGGUGAAAUGCGUAGAUAUCAGGAGGAACACCGGUGGCGAAGGCGGCCUGCUGGACUGCAACUGACGUUGAGGCCCGAAAGCGUGGGGAGCAAACAGGAUUAGAUACCCUCGUAA
rnacentral:rRNA from 1 species